GGGUUGUGAGGUUAAGCGACUAAGCGUACACGGUGGAUGCCCUGGCAGUCAGAGGCGAUGAAGGGCGUGCUAAUCUGCGAUAAGCGCCGGUAAGGUGAUAUGAACCGUUAUAACCGGCGAUACCCGAAUGGGGAAACCCAGUGUGACUCGUCACACUAUCAUUAACUGAAUCCAUAGGUUAAUGAGGCGAACCGGGGGAACUGAAACAUCUAAGUACCCCGAGGAAAAGAAAUCAACCGAGAUUCCCCCAGUAGCGGCGAGCGAACGGGGAGGAGCCCAGAGCCUGAAUCAGCAUGUGUGUUAGUGGAAGCGUCUGGAAAGGCGCGCGAUACAGGGUGACAGCCCCGUACACAAAAGCGCAUGUGCUGUGAGCUCGAUGAGUAGGGCGGGACACGUGGUAUCCUGUCUGAAUAUGGGGGGACCAUCCUCCAAGGCUAAAUACUCCUGACUGACCGAUAGUGAACCAGUACCGUGAGGGAAAGGCGAAAAGAACCCCGGCGAGGGGAGUGAAAAAGAACCUGAAACCGUGUACGUACAAGCAGUGGGAGCCCCACCACCAAAGCAUUCUCUGGUGUUGAAGGCCCUGCAAAGCAGCAUCGCGGUGGCGGAGCGUCGUUUGCGACGCCCAACACACAAAACAAGCGGUGAGUGCUUUGGGGUGGGGUGACUGCGUACCUUUUGUAUAAUGGGUCAGCGACUUAUAUUCUGUAGCAAGGUUAACCGUAUAGGGGAGCCGUAGGGAAACCGAGUCUUAACCGGGCGUUAAGUUGCAGGGUAUAGACCCGAAACCCGGUGAUCUAGCCAUGGGCAGGUUGAAGGUUGGGUAACACUAACUGGAGGACCGAACCGACUAAUGUUGAAAAAUUAGCGGAUGACCUGUGGCUGGGGGUGAAAGGCCAAUCAAACCGGGAGAUAGCUGGUUCUCCCCGAAAGCUAUUUAGGUAGCGCCUCGUGAAUUCAUCUUCGGGGGUAGAGCACUGUUUCGGCUAGGGGGUCAUCCCGACUUACCAACCCGAUGCAAACUGCGAAUACCGGAGAAUGUUAUCACGGGAGACACACGGCGGGUGCUAACGUCCGUCGUGAAGAGGGAAACAACCCAGACCGCCAGCUAAGGUCCCAAAGUCAUGGUUAAGUGGGAAACGAUGUGGGAAGGCCCAGACAGCCAGGAUGUUGGCUUAGAAGCAGCCAUCAUUUAAAGAAAGCGUAAUAGCUCACUGGUCGAGUCGGCCUGCGCGGAAGAUGUAACGGGGCUAAACCAUGCACCGAAGCUGCGGCAGCGACACUGUGUGUUGUUGGGUAGGGGAGCGUUCUGUAAGCCUGCGAAGGUGGCCUGUGAGGGUUGCUGGAGGUAUCAGAAGUGCGAAUGCUGACAUAAGUAACGAUAAAGCGGGUGAAAAGCCCGCUCGCCGGAAGACCAAGGGUUCCUGUCCAACGUUAAUCGGGGCAGGGUGAGUCGACCCCUAAGGCGAGGCCGAAAGGCGUAGUCGAUGGGAAACAGGUUAAUAUUCCUGUACUUGGUGUUACUGCGAAGGGGGGACGGAGAAGGCUAUGUUGGCCGGGCGACGGUUGUCCCGGUUUAAGCGUGUAGGUGUGUGUUCCAGGUAAAUCCGGUUCACUUUAACACUGAGGCGUGAUGACGAGGCACUACGGUGCUGAAGCAACAAAUGCCCUGCUUCCAGGAAAAGCCUCUAAGCAUCAGGUAACAUCAAAUCGUACCCCAAACCGACACAGGUGGUCAGGUAGAGAAUACCAAGGCGCUUGAGAGAACUCGGGUGAAGGAACUAGGCAAAAUGGUGCCGUAACUUCGGGAGAAGGCACGCUGACACGUAGGUGAAGUGAUUUACUCAUGGAGCUGAAGUCAGUCGAAGAUACCAGCUGGCUGCAACUGUUUAUUAAAAACACAGCACUGUGCAAACACGAAAGUGGACGUAUACGGUGUGACGCCUGCCCGGUGCCGGAAGGUUAAUUGAUGGGGUCAGCGCAAGCGAAGCUCCUGAUCGAAGCCCCGGUAAACGGCGGCCGUAACUAUAACGGUCCUAAGGUAGCGAAAUUCCUUGUCGGGUAAGUUCCGACCUGCACGAAUGGCGUAAUGAUGGCCAGGCUGUCUCCACCCGAGACUCAGUGAAAUUGAACUCGCUGUGAAGAUGCAGUGUACCCGCGGCAAGACGGAAAGACCCCGUGAACCUUUACUAUAGCUUGACACUGAACAUUGAGCCUUGAUGUGUAGGAUAGGUGGGAGGCUUUGAAGCGUGGACGCCAGUCUGCGUGGAGCCGACCUUGAAAUACCACCCUUUAAUGUUUGAUGUUCUAACGUGGACCCGUGAUCCGGGUUGCGGACAGUGUCUGGUGGGUAGUUUGACUGGGGCGGUCUCCUCCUAAAGAGUAACGGAGGAGCACGAAGGUUGGCUAAUCCUGGUCGGACAUCAGGAGGUUAGUGCAAUGGCAUAAGCCAGCUUGACUGCGAGCGUGACGGCGCGAGCAGGUGCGAAAGCAGGUCAUAGUGAUCCGGUGGUUCUGAAUGGAAGGGCCAUCGCUCAACGGAUAAAAGGUACUCCGGGGAUAACAGGCUGAUACCGCCCAAGAGUUCAUAUCGACGGCGGUGUUUGGCACCUCGAUGUCGGCUCAUCACAUCCUGGGGCUGAAGUAGGUCCCAAGGGUAUGGCUGUUCGCCAUUUAAAGUGGUACGCGAGCUGGGUUUAGAACGUCGUGAGACAGUUCGGUCCCUAUCUGCCGUGGGCGCUGGAGAACUGAGGGGGGCUGCUCCUAGUACGAGAGGACCGGAGUGGACGCAUCACUGGUGUUCGGGUUGUCAUGCCAAUGGCACUGCCCGGUAGCUAAAUGCGGAAGAGAUAAGUGCUGAAAGCAUCUAAGCACGAAACUUGCCCCGAGAUGAGUUCUCCCUGAGACUUUAGGUCUCCUGAAGGAACGUUGAAGACGACGACGUUGAUAGGCCGGGUGUGUAAGCGCAGCGAUGCGUUGAGCUAACCGGUACUAAUGAACCGUGAGGCUUAACCUUACAACGCCGAAG
rnacentral:rRNA from 1 species